rnacentral:lncRNA from 1 species
GUGGGAGCACCAGGAUCUUUGAAUUUUGGAGGGGUAUUGUGUUGGAGAAUAGAACUCACUUGCUCAGUUAGGAAGACCUUUUUAGGCACAUGUGUCCUAGAUUUUCGCUUUUGGCUACAAAGGUCUUUGAGAAAUUUGGCAUAGGAGGAAACUUGUCUAAUAGCAUCAAGAAGCGGAAGGUUGAUUUUGACUUGUUUGAAAACCUCCAUCAUCUCCUCUAGUAAAGUUUCCUUUUUGCCAAAGGGAGAGGGUGAAUUAAGAGCUUCAGAAAAUGGGGCCUUUAGGAUGUGAGUUUUGGUAGAAGGUGGACUAGCUGAAGAAGAAGAAGAAGGUUUUAGAUUUUCAUUUGAUACAUUUCUAUCCGUUUCUUCACCUUCCUUAAUGUUAUCCUCCCCAAUCUAAUUGUCUACUACACGUCCACUCCUUAGGGUAGUCAAAGCAUUGGCUUGUUCAUGAUGAAUUGUAUUUAGUUGAUUUUCUUGAGCCAUGUAUUGUCCCCUAGGAU